AUCGCUUCUCGGCCUUUUGGCUAAGAUCAAGUGUAGAAUAUAACCUAACUUCUAUUUUGUGCACAACUGGUUUCUUACACUGAAAGAGAACUUCUUUCAUGUAGAGAUAAUAUAAAUAUACAUAUGUGUACAUUUAUGUAUUUGAAUGUAUAUGCAUU
rnacentral:snRNA from 1 species